CCUACGGGAGGCAGCAGUGAGGAAUAUUGGUCAAUGGACGCAAGUCUGAACCAGCCAUGUCGCGUGCAGGAAGACUGCCCUAUGAGUUGUAAACUGCUUUUGUACGAGGGUAAACUCAGAUACGUGUAUUUGUUUGAAAGUACCUUACGAAUAAGGAUCGGCUAACUCCGUGCCAGCAGCCGCGGUAAUACGGAGGAUUCAAGCGUUAUCCGGAUUUAUUGGGUUUAAAGGGUGCGUAGGCGGUCUGAUAAGUCAGAGGUGAAAUCCUGAGGCUCAACUUCGAAAUUGCCUUUGAUACUGAUGGGCUUGAGAGGAGUAGAGGUAGGCGGAAUGUGUGGUGUAGCGGUGAAAUGCUUAGAGAUCAUGCAGAACUCCGAUUGCGAAGGCAGCUUACCGGGCUACUUCUGACGCUGAGGCACGAAAGCGUGGGUAGCAAACAGGAUUAGAUACCCGAGUAGUC
rnacentral:rRNA from 1 species